CCUACGGGAGGCAGCAGUGGGGAAUAUUGCACAAUGGGGGAAACCCUGAUGCAGCGACGCCGCGUGAGUGAAGAAGUAACUCGUUAUGUAAAGCUCUAUCAGUAGGGAAGAAAAUGACGGUACCUGAGUAAGUAGCCCUGGCUAACUACGUGCCAGCAGCCGCGGUAAUACGUAGGGGGCCAGCGUUAUCCGGAUUUACUGGGCGUAAAGGGAGCGUAGGCGGCAGGGCAAGUUUGGAGUGAAAGGCGGGGGCUCAACCCCGGGACUGCUGUGGGAACUGUAGGGCUGGAGUGCGGGGAAGGUAGGUGGAAUUCGUAGUGUAGCGGUGAAAUGCGUAGAUAUGAGGAAGAACACCGGUGGCGAAGGCAGCUUGCUGGAGUGUAACUGACGUUGAGGCUCGAAAGCGUGGGGAGCGAACAGGAUUAGAUACCCCUGUAGUC
rnacentral:rRNA from 1 species